rnacentral:rRNA from 1 species
GAUGAACGCUGGCGGCGUGCCUAAUACAUGCAAGUCGAGCGAACAGACGAGGAGCUUGCUCCUCUGACGUUAGCGGCGGACGGGUGAGUAACACGUGGAUAACCUACCUAUAAGACUGGGAUAACUUCGGGAAACCGGAGCUAAUACCGGAUAACAUGUUGAACCGCAUGGUUCAACAGUGAAAGACGGUCUUGCUGUCACUUAUAGAUGGAUCCGCGCCGCAUUAGCUAGUUGGUAAGGUAACGGCUUACCAAGGCAACGAUGCGUAGCCGACCUGAGAGGGUGAUCGGCCACACUGGAACUGAGACACGGUCCAGACUCCUACGGGAGGCAGCAGUAGGGAAUCUUCCGCAAUGGGCGAAAGCCUGACGGAGCAACGCCGCGUGAGUGAAGAAGGGCUUCGGAUCGUAAAACUCUGUUAUUAGGGAAGAACAAAUGUGUAAGUAACUAUGCACGUCUUGACGGUACCUAAUCAGAAAGCCACGGCUAACUACGUGC